rnacentral:misc_RNA from 1 species
CAAGAAACUCCACGGAAGAUUCACCUGAUCACUCGGGUAUAUUUUCUAAAGAAAAUAUCAAUGCCAUCAAAGAUAUCAAGAAAUUAUACGGAUUAUUGAAGUUGAGAAGUAGCAGAAAAGCACCAUCGUUCGACUUGACACCAGGCCAAAGGGAUGUGUGAUGACUGAUGAUACGGGGUCGUAUCAUUUCGGAUAAAUUCACGUUUGGUUAGCACUUGGGGGCCGCACGAGGGGAAAAAAUUAUACAAGGCAAAAAAAAAAAAAAAAAAAAACCAAC